rnacentral:rRNA from 1 species
GAUGAACGCUGGCGGCGUGCCUAAUACAUGCAAGUCGAGCGAACGGACGAGAAGCUUGCUUCUCUGAUGUUAGCGGCGGACGGGUGAGUAACACGUGGAUAACCUACCUAUAAGACUGGGAUAACUUCGGGAAACCGGAGCUAAUACCGGAUAAUAUUUUGAACCGCAUGGUUCAAAAGUAAAAGACGGUCUUGCUGUCACUUAUAGAUGGAUCCGCGCUGCAUUAGCUAGUUGGUAAGGUAACGGCUUACCAAGGCAACGAUGCAUAGCCGACCUGAGAGGGUGAUCGGCCACACUGGAACUGAGACACGGUCCAGACUCCUACGGGAGGCAGCAGUAGGGAAUCUUCCGCAAUGGGCGAAAGCCUGACGGAGCAACGCCGCGUGAGUGAUGAAGGUCUUCGGAUCGUAAAACUCUGUUAUUAGGGAAGAACAUAUGUGUAAGUAACUGUGCACAUCUUGACGGUACCUAAUCAGAAAGCCACGGCUAACUACGUGCCAGCAGCCGCGGUAAUACGUAGGUAGCAAGCGUUAUCCGGAAUUAUUGGGCGUAAAGCGCGCGUAGGCGGUUUUUUAAGUCUGAUGUGAAAGCCCACGGCUCAACCGUGGAGGGUCAUUGGAAACUGGAAAACUUGAGUGCAGAAGAGGAAAGUGGAAUUCCAUGUGUAGCGGUGAAAUGCGCAGAGAUAUGGAGGAACACCAGUGGCGAAGGCGACUUUCUGGUCUGUAACUGACGCUGAUGUGCGAAAGCGUGGGGAUCAAACAGGAUUAGAUACCCUGGUAGUCCACGCCGUAAACGAUGGGUGCUAAGUGUUAGGGGGUUUCCGCCCCUUAGUGCUGCAGCUAACGCAUUAAGCACUCCGCCUGGGGAGUACGACCGCAAGGUUGAAACUCAAAGGAAUUGACGGGGACCCGCACAAGCGGUGGAGCAUGUGGUUUAAUUCGAAGCAACGCGAAGAACCUUACCAAAUCUUGACAUCCUUUGACAACUCUAGAGAUAGAGCCUUCCCCUUCGGGGGACAAAGUGACAGGUGGUGCAUGGUUGUCGUCAGCUCGUGUCGUGAGAUGUUGGGUUAAGUCCCGCAACGAGCGCAACCCUUAAGCUUAGUUGCCAUCAUUAAGUUGGGCACUCUAAGUUGACUGCCGGUGACAAACCGGAGGAAGGUGGGGAUGACGUCAAAUCAUCAUGCCCCUUAUGAUUUGGGCUACACACGUGCUACAAUGGACAAUACAAAGGGCAGCGAAACCGCGAGGUCAAGCAAAUCCCAUAAAGUUGUUCUCAGUUCGGAUUGUAGUCUGCAACUCGACUACAUGAAGCUGGAAUCGCUAGUAAUCGUAGAUCAGCAUGCUACGGUGAAUACGUUCCCGGGUCU